UACAAGCCAUUCAGAAACAAAAGACAAAAACAUUUAAAGUCAAAAAAUAACAAUGCAGUGUCAUAAACGUAAAAUUAAAAUUAAAACUGUGUACUUUUAGUCCAGAACAGAGUGAGAACCUUCCUUAUACGAUGGACUGCGAUGGAAAGGUUUUAUGAAUUUAAACUGCAUCUUAAAAAGUAGGAUUUAGAGAAGCAGACAACAAGGACACAGGAAAAUGGCAUAGAAAACGACUAAUUUGGGGAAAAUAAAAGGCCAAUUUAAUGAAAGCACAGAAUCACACAAAAGGAUAGUGAGAGAUAAGGCUAGAAGAGAGCAUUAGGUCAGAUGAUAUAGAGUCUUGAAUGGCAAGGAAAGGAGUUUGGACUUCGAUGAAAUGUGAAGUCAUUGAAGGUCUUUGAGAAAGAAAAUGAGGUGAUAUAGGCAGUGUUUUAAGACAAUCUGACAGCAGUGGCUAGAAUGGAUUAGAAUAAAGGAUCAAUGAGAGAACCACCAAUGAGAAACAUAUUACAAUAGCUUGGGGGUGAAAUAAUGCAAAGAGAGAAAAGAAAGGAAGAGAUGCACACACCAAAGAGGUAUAUCUUAAAAUAAAACAAAUACAAAUGUACUAUUCUAUGGUGAGCUUACCUGAGCAAUGAAUUGGAUAAUCUUGACAAAUAUGUUAAGUGGCGUAUCACGAGGGACUACGCUACGGGAGCCUUUUGGGAAAAGUGCUGAUACUAUGCUCAUAAGACGACUAGAGAAAAAAUGAAUUUACAAAUGAGAUGAAAAGCUGCUAUUGCAAAGGAAGAAUGUUUGAACCAGACAUCUUUCUCCUGUCUUCUGAUAUUAUUUAUAACAAUGCCAAGAUUUUUAUGAAUAAGUUCCCUCAAUUGCUUUUCUUAAUGGUUCAAUGAAGACUUGACAUGCAAAGAACCAAAAGUUAAGUUAAUAUUUACUUAAGUUAAUUUUUUACCCUGAGCGAAAGGAGGAAAGGUGAGACCACUAUAUGCUGAUCCUUGACCCUUUUCCAUCAACAAGAAUGCACAAGUGAAAGUGAAUAGCCCAGGCUAAGAAUUACUUUUUAUUUUUCUUUGUUUUCAGAGUUGUAGGAGACAAGUAUUUUGUCACCAGGUGAAAUGAACUUUUUAAUUGAGCAAGGCUGAUCCUCAGAAAGAAGACACACAUUGGUUCCUGAAACUUUAUUAAAAAUCUUUCUAGCAUCUGUAGAUAUGCCAUCUGUCAAAUCUCGUCUCUACUUGAAUAACUUUAAAAAACCUAGAAUAAUCUCCACAAAAUGAAGACCAAUGUUAUAGACUAAUUUUCUCUGAAAUACAUUUUUUGUAAUCCCUUCUUAUAUUAUUAUAUCAUGAAAUAAACUGAUUUC